GCCUGUGUAGCUCAGUCCUGGUUAGAGCGUUGCAUUGGUAAUGCAGAGGUCCUGAGUUCAAUCCUCAGCACAGGCU
rnacentral:tRNA from 1 species